rnacentral:lncRNA from 1 species
AUUUUAUGUAACUUUGUAUUUCAGGAGGACCUGACAAAUCAUCCAGUAUGAUGGUACAUCCAAUUCAUAAAAGCAAAAUCAAACAAGAUUCACUGAUACUUCUGAUGGCAGUGAUGGCCCAUCUAGAGCAAGCUGCUGCAAAGAUGCCAGUGGAGGAGGCAUGGCCAGGGCUGUGCCCUCUACAGAGCCCAUGGAAACCAGGAACAGACCCUCUACAGAAGAAUGGCAUUAAAAGCAAAACCAAUAAAAAGCCAUCUAUCUUUUCAUGGAACAACUCUACUGCUUUCACCUAG